rnacentral:rRNA from 1 species
GACGAACGCUGGCGGCGUGCUUAACACAUGCAAGUCGAGCGGUAAGGCCCCUUCGGGGGUACACGAGCGGCGAACGGGUGAGUAACACGUGAGUAAUCUGCCCUUCACUUCGGGAUAACCGCCGGAAACGGCGGCUAAUACCGGAUACGACGCGCUUCCGCAUGGGAUGUGCGUGGAAAGUCUUCUCGGUGAAGGAUGUGCUCGCGGCCUAUCAGCUUGUUGGUGGGGUAAUGGCCCACCAAGGCUUCGACGGGUAGCCGGCCUGAGAGGGUGACCGGCCACACUGGGACUGAGACACGGCCCAGACUCCUACGGGAGGCAGCAGUGGGGAAUAUUGGACAAUGGGCGAAAGCCUGAUCCAGCAACGCCGCGUGAGGGAUGACGGCCUUCGGGUUGUAAACCUCUUUCAGUACCGACGAAGCGCCAAUAACGGCGGUGACGGUAGGAACAGAAGA